rnacentral:miRNA from 1 species
GCUGUCACAUCCCAGCCAAUCUCCAGCAGACCCUCCCUCCCAGACCCUCCCACCUCCUGGACAGCAUCCAUGUUGAAGCUGCCUUCAAAAUGGAUGCUGUCCAGGAGGUGGGAGGGUCUGGGAGGGAGGGUCUGCUGGAGAUUGGCCGGGAUGUGUCAG